UAGGGAAUCUUCCGCAAUGGACGCAAGUCUGACGGAGCAACGCCGCGUGAGUGAAGAAGGAUUUAGGUUCGUAAAACUCUGUUGUUAGAGAAGAACAGCGCAUAGAGUAACUGUUAUGCGUGUGACGGUAUCUAAUCAGAAAGCCACGGCUAACUACGUUCCAGCAGCCGCGGUAAUACGUAGGUGGCAAGCGUUGUCCGGAUUUAUUGGGCGUAAAGCGAGCGCAGGCGGUCAAUUAAGUCUGAUGUGAAAGCCCCCGGCUCAACCGGGGAGGGUCAUUGGAAACUGGUUGACUUGAGUGCAGAAGAGGAGGGUGGAAUUCCAUGUGUAGCGGUGAAAUGCGUAGAUAUAUGGAGGAACACCAGUGGCGAAGGCGACUCUCUGGUCUGUAACUGACGCAGAGGCUCGAAAGCGUGGGUAGCAAACAGG
rnacentral:rRNA from 1 species